rnacentral:rRNA from 1 species
UCGAGAAUCUUUCGCAAUGCCCGAAAGGGUGACGAAGCGACGCCGCGUGUGGGAAGAAGGCCUUCGGGUUGUAAACCACUGUCGGGAGUUAGGAAAUGCAGGUGCGUUAAUAGCGCACUUGCUUGACUAAGGCUCCAGAGGAAGCCACGGCUAACUCUGUGCCAGCAGCCGCGGUAAUACAGAGGCGGCAAGCGUUGUUCGGAAUUAUUGGGCGUAAAGAGCACGUAGGCGGCCUUGCAAGUCAGUUGUGAAAGCCUUCCGCUUAACGGAAGAACGGCAUCUGAUACUACAGGGCUUGAGUACGGGAGGGAGGUGGAACUUCUGGUGGAGCGGUGAAAUGCGUAGAUAUCAGAAGGAACGCCGGCGGCGAAAGCGACUCUCGUGGUCCGAAACUGACGCUGA